UUCUUUUACUCUUAUUUCACCAUCAUUUUUAUUUUCACUUUCGUCUCUUUUGGAAGACCUAGCGACAAUCAAGGUAGUCUUCACUUCCUCUCUCUCUCUUUCGCUUGUUUGACCAGAGGGCAGGCUGAGCCUUGUGCUCGUGCAAGUUUUGUUGUCAAGCAGUAUUGUCGUCGUGCCGGUCUGAGUUACGGUGCCCGUCUUGUUGCUACGUCAGACUAGCCAUUGUGCCAGGCUGGUGGGUGUUGGUUUUGCCGUUGAGUAGUAUUGCUACCAUGCCGGUCUGAGGUACCGCGCCCUUCUUGUUAUAACGUCAAGUCAGUCCCCGCACUAGUCUAGCCACGGUGCCAGCCUAACCGGCCGGUCAAACUUCUUCUCUCACUUUCACUUCACUUAGUAACAAGGUGGGGACCUAUGCCCCAUUCAUUUGUACUUUUAAUAUGUGUGUGUGUUUGCAGGAAAAGAGAAAUAGGUUCAGGGAGGCAAUUCCAAACUGGCCAUAGGCCAGAGGCAUUCCAACGUGAUCUAAGAGGGCACCUGAGCGAGCUAGCCCGGCGUGUCACGAAUCCACGUGAGGCUCGCAGACGGCGCUACUCAUCGCCAUACGCAAAGGUAUCCUCGACGUCUCAGUGAAGAGCAUAGAUAGAGAAACUUAUUGUCGUCCCUCGGGGAUCUCCCCCUGUUGCACGCCGAUCGCAGACGACGAUGCCAAUCACAGACGACGAAGCCAAACGCCGCCUGCGAGGGGUCACGCAACACCUAUCGUUGCCUGCGAGGGGUCACGACAACACCAAUAGCCGCCCGCGAGCUUCCUUCACGCACUCGGUCCGUACCCCAGUCCGCGAGCUUCCGUCAUGUGCUCGGUGCCUAACUCUGCCCACGAGCUUCCUUCGCGCACUCAGUGCCUAUCGUCGUCUGCAAGCCUCUUUCGUGCACUCGGUACUCAUCGACAUUUGUAGGUUCCUCUUAUGUCCCAUGCCUAUCACAGUGUGCCUCAGAAAGAACUAUCGCCACACACUUCACAAAUGGAUAUCGUCGUGGGCUUCGUAAGAGAUUAUCGCCACCCACGCAGAGGUGUGUUGCCUUCUUGUGUCGCCAACGAUGACGCGUAACACCACCUAUAAUUCAUUGUUCACCCUCUACACGUGAGCAGUAGUGUACUGCGUCGUCCACGGACCGUGACACUGCUACUCCAUGAUUGUGGGUGGUGAUGCUUAGCGCUGUCUGAACCUCCUUCCCUCGCCAUCUCGAGCCUUCUCUUCAUUCUCUUCCCUUCUUACUUGACUGAGGGUAGACUCGGUCUAGCCUUGCCAUAGCGGUCUGUGUAACAACCUAGAUUUUCUCGGCCGAAUAGUUUGCAUGGCUGGAAAAGGAGGGAAGGAAAGGAGAAGUGCACAGCGAUAGGAAGGAGAAGCGCUUGGCGAUAGGAAGGAGAAGUGUGUGACGUUAGGAAGGAGAAGAGCGCGGCGGUAGGAAGGAGAAGCACGCGACGAUAGGAAGGAGAAGCGUGCGACGAAGGGAAGGAGAAGUACACUGCGAUAGGAAGGAGAAGCGCACGGCGAUGGUGAAGAACGGGCGGCGAUAGGGAGAGCGUACGAUGAUAGAAGAGAGUGCGGUGGUGUACACAUGGCAGUGAGGACGUAACGCCAAGAGUGAAUGGGGGGCAUCACCGUGUGCGUAACGCCGUGUGCAGCACUGACGUGCAUGGGUGGUGUUCUCCACUUGUCAAGCUUUGGGGAAGCUCUCACCCUCACCUUGGAGCAGCCAUUGUUGAAGUUGAAGGACUAUGGGAAAAGGAUAGGAGGACACCAUAGUUGUUUUAGAGUUAGAGCCUAAUCGCGAGUGGCGGGCAGCGUACCGAUGAUAGCAGAUGUUCGGAGUUCAAACUAGUUCAGGAUUUUUUCUUGACUUUCUAGGUGUAUGGUGGUGUUGCCACGUGUUAUUAUUUUUUAUGUAAUAUUUUUAAGAUGAAUGUUAAGCUUGUGAGCCUCAAACC